UUUUUUUUUUUUUUUUUUUUUUAAACCCAGGGCCCAGGAAAGUUAUGCAAAGCAAUUACUCAACUUAGGCAGCCCAGGGAGGGACCACCAUCUUCCAACUGCUCCACCUCCCACUACGUUUGUCUUUGCCUCCUUUCCCUUCCCAUCAGGGUUCAUGACCAAGGAGACGCAAUUCUGUGAGCCUAAGUCUCUGCUGGUCUGGUCCUCUUGGCUCUCUUGAGAGACCCAAGUACAGGUGACUUCCCUGACUCUGGCUGGGCUCCGUAAGCUGUCUUGAGGCUACGCAGCGUCUAAGGCGUUAUCCUUAACCUCCAGCUCCCUCCGGCUUUGCUUUUCUCUCUCUUCUUGACUCUUCUGAAGUUUUUCCUUGUUCCUGUCUCUCUUCCUCCUGUCUGCUGCAGCCUCACACACCAGACAGUUCUCAAGAUGUCCUUCGGGGGAGCCUCCAGGAAGGAAAGAGACAAAGGAGAUAGAAGAAGUGGAAUAAGGGGAAAGAUAAGAACUGGAAAGCUGAACCAUAGCCCAGACCCAAGCAGGAGAAAGAGCAAGAAAUGCCUAUGAGAAAGCCGGAAAGAAACCCCUGGAAUUUGGAAGAAAAUGUCUAAAAGGGAAUGGCAAGGAACCUGAGGAACCAGCGUGAGGAAAACCUGGAUGAUCUGACGUCUUCCUCACUUUAUCCCUACCUGUCCACGCCUCCAUCCAUCCACCCAUCCAUCACUGAUCAAGCUCUCACUAUGUCUAUAGUGUAGAAGGUGCCACCAAAUGCAAUGGAACCUCUUGUCUCAUGUGUCUACUUGCAUCUUUAAGUUGAUACACGGAAGGCACAGUCCAAGCACAGGAUACUGGAAGCUAUGGAGGUACAGUGGCCUCUGAGCAAACUGAAAACUCUCUAUCACUAAAGGGUUGGGCAUACAGGGUAUCUCCUCUGCUCUGCCACCUACCUUGAGGAUGCUUUACAUGUGGCUAAAAGUGGAGGCAGAGAUAUUUGGAUAAAUAAAUGCUAGAGAAUUGGAAAUUCCUAGGACAAGUCAA
rnacentral:lncRNA from 1 species